rnacentral:lncRNA from 1 species
CCCCCAAAUUGCCGCAUUCAUAUCAUACAAAUCCCUGCUACUUGGGAGGCUGAGGAAGGAGAAUCACAUGAACCUGGGAAGUGGAGGUAGCAGUGAGCUGAGAUGGAGCCACUGCACUCCAGCCUGGGUGACAGAGUGAGACUCCAUCUCAAAAAAAAAAAAAAAGAGAGAGAUGAGGUUAACUGAAAAUCAUAAGAUCUGAAAAGUUUAAACAUUAGGAAUGAGGUUAGACUUUUUAAAAAUCGCCUUCUUGAUGUGCCUAUU